GAUGAACGCUGGCGGCGUACCUAAUACAUGCAAGUCGAGCGAACAGACGAUGAUCUUGCUCCUCUGACGUUAGCGGCGGACGGGUGAGUAACACGUGGAUAACCUACCUAUAAGACUUGGAUAACUUCGGGAAACCGGAGCUAAUACCGGAUAAUAUAUUGAACCGCAUGGUUCAAUAGUUAAUGACGGUUUUGCUGUCACUUAUAGAUGGUUCCUCGCCGCAUUAGCUAGUUGGUAAGGUAACGGCUUACCAAGGCAACGAUGCGUAGCCGACCUGAGAGGGUGAUCGGCGACACUGGAAGUGAGACACGGUCCAGAGACCUACGGGAGGCAGCAGUAGGGAAUGUAGCGCAAUGGGCGAAAGCCUGACGGAGCAACGCCGCGUGAGUGAAGAAGGUCUUCGGAGCGUAAAACUCUGUUAUUAGGGAAGAACAAAUGUGUAAGGAACUAUGCACGUCGUGACGGUACCUAAACAGAAAGCAACGGCUAACUACGUG
rnacentral:rRNA from 1 species